UUUAGACUUGGGGGAACGAAGCUUUAACAGAAUCAUCUUUGUAAAAAAAUGUAGAAGUACGAGCUAGAGAAAUUAUAAAGUAUCCCUUAUAGAUUAGAAUACUGUGAAGGAAUGUUGAAAAAUAAAGUUAGUCUUUAAAAAGAAGAUUUAUUUUAUCGUACCUUGUGUAUCAGGGUUCCGCAAAUUUUUUUUGAAUAAAUUUUUCCCGAAUUUAAGCGAGCUAUAUUUUAGGGUUUGUAAGUGUUGCAACAUUUUUUUAAAUUGAAGUAUAGGGUGAAAUGCCAUUCGAGCUUUUUUAUCUGGUUUUCUGAGAAACGAAUUUAAUUCGAUUGAUCUGAGUUUUAGUUUUAGUGUAAAAUUUAAAAAUUUUGAUUUAUAAAGACCUAGGGGGAUGAGCUCUUGGGGCAAACUUAAUUGGUAUAAAAAUUAAAUAAAUUUAGAUGAUUUCAGGCUUAAAAGUGGCUCAAAAAUUAUAAGUUUUUUGUAAUUUACAUCUUGUCAAGUAAUAUUUUUUGAUUUUUUACCUAUUUAUCAGAAUACUUAACUUAACUUAUUUAAUUAAGGAAAAAAUGCUGGAAUUAGUAGAAUUUUAUGUAAAUUUUAUCAUCAAGAUAAAUUUAAAUUAAAAACUAAUUUAAAUAUUUUAAAGGAACUCGGCAAAUUGUUUUCCGCAUGUUUAUCAAAAACAUCUCUCCUUGAUUUUAUAGGGAGUACCGCCUGCUCAAUGCAUUGUAAAUAGCCGCAGUAUCCUGACUGUGCUAAGGUAGCAUAAUCAUUAGUCUCUUAAUUAGAGGCUGGUAUGAAUGGUGAGACGAGAAAAAAGCUGUCUCUGAAAUAAAUAUUGAAUUUCAUUUUUAAGUGAAAAAGCUUAAAUGCAUUUGGGGGACGAUCAGACCCUUUGGAGCUUUAUUGUAAUAAGAUUUUAGGUUAAUUGAUAACAAUAAUUUUAUUAUAAUUUUGUUGGGGCGACAGAAAGUUAAAAGAUACCACUUUUUCUAUUAAACAUAAAUUUAUGGAAAAUUGAUCCCUGAUGAGGGCUUAAAAGACUAAGUUACCCUAGGGAUAACAGCGUAAUCUUUUUGGAGAGUUCAUAUCGAUAAAAAGGUUUGCGACCUCGAUGUUGGAUUAAGAAAUUAGCAAGGUGCAGAAGUUUUGCUGGAAAGUCUGUUCGACUUUUAAUUUCUUACAUGAUCUGAGUUCAGACCGGCGUAAGCCAGGUUGGUUUCUAUCCUCAAAUUUUUUACCUGUUUUUAGUACGAAAGGAUUAAAAUAGGAGGAAUAGCAUCCUAAAAUCGAGAAGUAAAAUAACUUUU
rnacentral:rRNA from 1 species